UCUUAUCGAGCUUACGUUCAGUUGCCUUCUCAUAACUUUUUUUGAUCAUGAAUAUGAAAAACCAAACGUGAAAGCUAAUAAAAAUUUGAAAUUAUUUAAAAUGAUUAGUUGAACGAUAAAAUUAAUCUAAUAAACAAUGUUUUAAUUACCGAAAAUUAAUAUCGGAAAAGAUGCUGUUAAACAAGCAGGUGUGUUCCAUAUAUACAGAGAUCUUUUUUAUUUUUUGUAUAUCGAAUUUGAUAGAAUGCUUUAGUGUACCAUGCACAUUUAAUACCAUGUGCAUGUGUUGGAUCCAAGACGACGAGGAUUUCACGAAAAUGGAUAUUAAUUGUAUGGGAGUACCAUUUGCCAGAUUUCCAGAUGUCUCCGUGAGUUAUGUGGCUCAAUUAGACGUAGUUGGAUCUGGAAUGCAAUCGUUAGACAAUGAUGCACUUACAAGUUCAGUCGGUGUCGAAGCUUUGGGAUUAAUGAGCAAUCGAUUGUCCAAUAUUGGCGAUAAAUCUUUUUCAGGUAUUGCGGACAGUUUACGCUCGUUAGAUCUCAGCUACAAUGCCUUGGAGGAUGUGCCAUUUAAAGUCUUUCGUGACUUGAAGAAACUAAAUUGGCUCAACAUGCACAGCAAUCAUUUAACAUCGCUAGACGGUGACUGGGGUCACUCGAAAGAUGCACUAACAAACGCUUUCUUCGGGGAUAAUUCAAUCAUCGAGAUACCAAAAAUAUUCAACACAUUCGAAUCUCUAGUCUGGUUGAAUCUCGACAAUAAUAAUAUCGAGGAAAUUUCAGAAGACACUCUACCUCCCAACAUACACACUCUUAGUUUGAACAGUAAUCUCCUUAAAUCCUUUCCAUCCACAUUGAAAUUCUUGAAACAGCUCACGUGGUUAUAUCUGAGGGGGAACGACUUCAAAAAUCUCGAGCUACCCGAUUUUCAAACUUCAGAUUUAGAAUUGGUCGACGUGAGUGAAAAUUGCAUCGAAUGGAUUCGUACGUCGAGCUUGGCCAAUCGAACUUUGAAAAUUAAAGAGUUCAAUUUGGAUAGCAAUAAAUUGACAUUGUUACCUGCUGGAAUUUUCGAUCAUCUUGAAAUCAAGAGGAUACAUCUAUCCUCGAAUUCGAUCAAAAAUGUCGACGAUGAUGCAUUUCGAGGGCUCGAGGAUAUGUUGGAGUACUUGAAUUUGGAGAACAAUGAUCUUCCUAGCGUUCCAGGAGCUGUCAGUCGAUUGAGAAAGUUGUCGUAUCUGUAUCUUGCCAACAAUGACAUAAGGAAUAUAUCUGGAGACAUAUUUCAUGAGUUUGGUGAAAAUUUGCGAGCACUUUCAUUGGCUACAAAUAGUUUGGACGCGGUUCCAGUUGCUGCUCUUUCUAGAUGCCAGAGGUUACUGCACCUUAAUCUCGGUUACAACAAAAUUUCUUAUAUUCAAUCGGGUGAUUUUGAAUGGGCAGAAGAUCUUGAAAUUCUCUUGCUUAGGAAUAAUAUAUUGACAAAAUUGAAAGAUGAAACCUUUAAAGGAGCAAAAAAGCUUAAGGAACUCAGCUUGUCCUUCAAUCACUUAACAGAGCUUAGCGACGAUUGCUUCAUUGGCAUCGAGGAGAGUCUCGACAUUCUCGAACUAAGUUUCGCUUUUGCGACUGAUGUGUUUCCCCAACGAGCUCUCAGGCCUCUUUCCAAUCUGCUCUGGCUUGUCUUGGAUAACAAUAACUUUCAGACCAUAGAGGCAACCGCGUUUUACUCCUUCCAACGAUUACGCUACAUCAAUCUGGAAUCGAAUCGACUUCAUUAUCUACCAGAACGAAUAUUCCUGUCCAGCGUGCAUCCAGAAUUGAGAGAUGUGAAGCUCGGUUACAAUUUCCUCGAAGCCAUCCCAGAAUUCAGUUUUCACAAUUUGACAGAACUAAGAUCUUUGGAUUUGACUGGGAACAGAAUAAAGAUUCUCAAUUCUGACUCGAUCAUGGAUUGUCCGGAAUUGGUGACGAUUUCGUUGGCUUACAAUCGUAUCACCAAAAUGGAGAAAAACGUUUUUUACGGUUUGCCCAAUUUGCGCUUCCUUCAUUUGGAAUUUAAUAAAUUAACCACGUUGGAUCUAGACGCAAUCUCGGAGAUAGGUGGCCCAGAUUUUGCUCUUAAUGUUUCUUAUAACGCAAUUUCUAUUAUAAAUUCAGCAGGAUUGAUGAACAAUUUGACCAGACUCGAUUUGAGUUUUAAUAAUAUUAGUCACCUGCCAGCGGACACGUUUUAUGGCACCCCAGAUCUGAAGAUUUUGGAUCUUCAAAGUAAUUUCAUCGUUGUUCUCGAACCAGGUACUUUUACAUUAAGACACUUGGAAACGUUAAAUAUACGGAACAACAAGAUAGAAGGUUUAAGAAAACAAUCUUUCCACGGUUUAGAAUUGUUGCAACAAUUAGACUUGAGCGAAAAUCAAAUUGCACAAUUGCUUACCGAACAAUUUCGUAAUUUGAAGAAUCUACGAAUCUUAAAUUUAUCCGGAAAUAAAAUAAGAUCCUUGCCCAGAGACGUUUUCGAAGGAACAAAAUUGGAAAUUCUUGAUCUGAGCAAUAAUAAAUUUACCGUGGUACCAUCGCCAUCCUUUCUCGAGGUUGGUUAUACGUUAAGGGAUCUCAAUUUGGCGGAUAAUUUCGUGGACCAUCUAGAUUCGACUGCUUUCCCAACUUCGCAAUUGGUUUCCUUAAAUUUGGCGCACAACAGGCUAACAAUUCUGCCAGAUAAUUCGUUCGUCUCUUUGGGAAAACUUUUGAGCCUGAACGUGUCUCAAAAUGUUCUUCAGGCGAAUUUUAAGGAGCUGUUCCAUUAUUUGCCCGGAUUGAGACAACUCUAUUUGGCUAAUUGCGGUCUUAAAGACAUACCUCUUCUUCCAUUGAUGAAUUUAAACGUUUUGGAUUUAUCAUUUAAUUACAUAGAUUCAACACCCGAUAAACAAUUUCAAUAUUUGAAAGAUUUGAAGAUUCUGUUGUUCGUGAACGAUUCGUUGACCUCUAUGCCUAACAUCAAGUUGAAUCUGUUGAGAGAACUUGACGUGUCAGGAAAUCCAAUAGAGGUAUUAAUGAAGGAGAGCUUUCUGGGUUAUCCAAGAUUAGAAAAGCUGAACUUACGAAAUCUGAAUAAAACUAAAUCGGUGGACAAAGACUGCCUUCGUGUCUUAAAAUACUUGAAGCAUCUUCGAAUUCAAACGUGGCCUGAAGCGGAUGGUUUUCACCUUCGACCCCUUUUAAUUGGAUUACCGUUGAGAACUGUGGAGAUACAAGUAAUGAUCUCGAAUCAAUCUCCUCGGAAGCUUUCUCUACUAUCGAAGGUGGUGAACUAAUAUUGAGGAUCAGAGAUACUCGAGUCCGUCGAUUGCAGUCCGAUAUGUUCCUCUCCUUGACGAAAAGACUCUCUCAAUUAACACUGGAUUUGAGAAACAAUCACAUCAACGAGCUUAGUCCUUCGGUUAUCUAUGGGAAUCUUUCGUGGGAGAGUGUUGGGACCAAUAUGGUUGCUGGAGGCCUACAAGUGUCAGGAAAUCCUCUCGAAUGCGAUUGUGAGAUAGCUUGGCUCAGCUUAUGGUUGCGAAGAUGGCUUCGAGAAUCUCGACAAAUCCAUACUGCUUCGCAAUCGGAUGCCCGACAAUUAAGAA
rnacentral:misc_RNA from 1 species